rnacentral:rRNA from 1 species
GACGAACGCUGGCGGCGUGCCUAAUACAUGCAAGUCGAACGCUUCUUUUUCCACCGGAGCUUGCUCCACCGGAAAAAGAGGAGUGGCGAACGGGUGAGUAACACGUGGGUAACCUGCCCAUCAGAAGGGGAUAACACUUGGAAACAGGUGCUAAUACCGUAUAACAAUCAAAAUCGCAUGGUUUUGAUUUGAAAGGCGCUUUCGGGUGUCGCUGAUGGAUGGACCCGCGGUGCAUUAGCUAGUUGGUGAGGUAACGGCUCACCAAGGCUACGAUGCAUAGCCGACCUGAGAGGGUGAUCGGCCACAUUGGGACUGAGACACGGCCCAAACUCCUACGGGAGGCAGCAGUAGGGAAUCUUCGGCAAUGGACGAAAGUCUGACCGAGCAACGCCGCGUGAGUGAAGAAGGUUUUCGGAUCGUAAAACUCUGUUGUUAGAGAAGAACAAGGAUGAGAGUAACUGUUCAUCCCUUGACGGUAUCUAACCAGAAAGCCACGGCUAACUACGUGCCAGCCGCCGCAGUAA